UUGUGACCUUGUUAUGACCGUCACGUUUAGAAGCGAAAUUUGCAUUGAAAGGGCCAUUAAAAGCCUCAAAGAGGGUUUGGGGAGGCAUUGUCAUGUUCCAAUUACAUGACCCCCCUGCUGCUAGUUUCAGGGGAAAUCAUAUUACAUAUUACCGUUCCAAGAACACUUGUGGAGGAGUUCCUUUAGCCCUUAAUUGGUCAUUAGGUCAUAAGACAAAGCGAAGAACGUUACUACUCGUAUAAUGUAUAGAAACCAAAUAUUUGAGUCCAAAAAAUGCAGUUAUGACGUUGACGGUUAUGAGAUUGACAUUGUGCAGAUCAUUGCAGGUACGUCUCAAAAUUAAAUAAGACAACCAUCAUGGGCCCUAAUCUCAAGUUGACUUAGAACCGGUGCAAAUCGGGAUUGACAUAGCAACGACGUAAAUCUAGCAAUGCCAUUCGAUGCUGCUAUGUAACUGCGACCCGCGCAAUUUUGCGACCAAACUUGAAAUCAGCCCCAUAGUGCUUAAUUCAUGCAAUCAAGUUUCCGAAACUAUCUGACGAAGAGAAAAUAGAAAUGUUACAGUAAUUCGUGAUAAAAAUUGAAACCACUUACCAGAUGUAGGAAAGAAAAUAAUUGGUAGCCCUAGCCUAAAACUGUGGAAGAAGUUACCCUGUACUCAGAGUUUAUGAAUUACAUGAAAAAAAGUAGAAGUACGAUGAAGGAUUUGUAUAAUUCUCUGUGAAAUUGCAAAACCCUUACGGCGGUCACUAUCUUUUAUGAAAUUUACUAUUAACAAAAUAACCGACCUUUCGAAACUCAAGUAAUUACGGAAUACGAGGAGGUUAUCCCCCUUUGUGUUACAGACUUGUAGAAAUAUACAAUCUGUCUAUGAAUGAAUGUCGGAUCGUAUUAGGUAUUAAAAGUUUGUUGCUUCCUUCAAGAAAAAACGAACGAUGUUAGUAUAUGAUAAAAUUGGUCUUACUAAUUAUCUGGGUAGAUAAAAAUUGGUACUUUUCAGAAAUUUCAUAGAAAUAAAAUAGUUAAAUGCGACAAAUUCAAAUUCCGGAACCACCUGAGAUCCUACACUCUUUUAUAAACAGUCCGUAGACCAAGGAUGGAUAUAGAUUCAAAAAAUGUAAUGGCCUAGAAAUCCCCAUUUGUAAAUACUGAUCUGCGUCAUGAACAAAAUAUUUCGUUUGAGUAAGUUAUGUAACUUACCCUGCAACUAUCCCUACUAUCAAUGCACUACCAUUUUACAUACACACAACAUAUUAAACCAUUCGAAAUGCAUUCAUUCAGACUCAACAAUCAUAAGUACAAUUUCCUCUUCACUUUCAACAUCUGACAUUCUACUUUCUUCAUUCAUUUCCACCACAUUCGUACUGGGAUAUACCAUAUUACAUACGCCACUACUUGUUUCUUGUUCCUCAUUCACCAUCAAUGUAUCUUCUCUUUCAGCCGAGUCAUUCACACUAACUUCAUUACCAGAAUCUUCAUUAUCCGAUAGUGACAAUAAGCUAAAGUCAGUAUCAGAUUCAGACUCUGCUAAUGAAAUUAUCACGGGAGGAAUAUCAUCCACACUGGUAAAUGCACCCAUAUAUCUUGCCCAGUCGUCCUUAAUCAGUUUUUCACAGUGUUUCACACUAUUCCUCCACAUGUCCACAGUAAAACUGGAAAGCGCUUCUUGCCAUAAAGCCCUAACCGUGUCUUUCGACGAUGGCCGGGACCUUAUGUGCUUAUUAUAGUAAGUUUUACAAUACCCCCAUGCCAGUUCAAUAGGAUUGUAUUGACAAUGGUAAGGGGGUAUUCUAAGAACCUCACACCCAUUUUGCUUCAGUAGCUCAUCAAUAACAAAUUUCCUAUUAAUUUUGUCUGCCGAAAAAGGUUUAAUUAAAUCCCACAAUUGUUUUUUUGUUAAUCCCUCCCCAAAUUCAAUAUUAUGACUUACCAACCACUCUUGCAUUAUGCUUUUGUUUGCAUUAAAGGUGGGUGGUUUAUCAACUACCACAGAGUGGUAUGGAGCGUUGUCCAUAACCACUACGUGUUUUCCCUGCAUUUUACUUAAUGCAGGGAUAAGUUGAUUUUCCACCCACCUUUUAAACAAUGCGUGGUUCAUAUUUUUGUGGUAGUCACGAUGUUCAAUUUUGCUGUCCAAAAAAAAGCUACAACCCUCUAUGAACCCCCCAGAUUCACAUCCUGCAUGCAAAAUGGUAAAGCGCUUUCCCUCAUUCUUUAUUUUGCUAGGAUUAGCUCGACGGUCAUCAUCUUUCACCCACAUUCUCACCUGACUUCCAUUCUGGUAUAUCCACGUCUCAUCCAAAAAUAUAAAAUUAAUUUUUUCAUUGGAUUGUAGGUGUUGCAGGUACCUUCGCAAAAAACUAAUUUUUUUUGAAACCAAAUGGGGGCUUUCCGUCAAAAUCUUUCGGCCAUUACAUUUUUUGAAUCUGUACCCCAUAGAUUUUACCAAUCUACACAGAGUUUUUUUGGAUGCCUUGAAAUUCAAAUUUUCUCUGGCAUAAUUAUACAAAUCCUCCAUCGUAAAGUACUGGUUUUUCUCAUGCAAUUCAUAUACUCUUUUCGACAGGUCUUCCUUAAAACACAUAUCUGUGUGAUAAGGAAGAUUCUUCUUCCGUUUUCCAGUUUUGGCACUUUUUAUUUCUUCCCCACGUUCUGAUUGUUGGACGAUUGUCCUAACUUGAUUUUCACAAAUCUAAAUAAAUUUUUAAGUAAUACUAAGCUGAAGUAUUGUUAAAUAUUACCGCAAAAAUAUAGGCCACUUUUUCGUACA